rnacentral:rRNA from 1 species
UAGGGAAUAUUGGGCAAUGGACGCAAGUCUGACCCAGCCAUGCCGCGUGAAGGACGAAGGCCCUAUGGGUUGUAAACUUCUUUUGUACGGGAAGAAACCCCUCUACGUGUAGGGGGCUGACGGUACCGUAAGAAUAAGGAUCGGCUAACUCCGUGCCAGCAGCCGCGGUAAUACGGAGGAUCCAAGCGUUGUCCGGAUUUAUUGGGUUUAAAGGGUGCGUAGGCGGAUUACUAAGUCAGAGGUGAAAGUUUGCAGCUUAACUGUAAAAUUGCCUUUGAAACUGGUAGUCUUGAGUAUAGUUGAGGUGGGCGGAAUGUGUCAUGUAGCGGUGAAAUGCUUAGAUAUGAUACAGAACACCGAUUGCGAAGGCAGCUCACUAAACUGUAACUGACGCUGAGGCACGAAAGCGUGGGGAGCAAACAGG